ACCAUUGGAUGAGCUGCACUUGAUUAGUUUGUUGGUGGGGUAAUGGCCUACCAAGACUGUGAUCAAUAGCUGAUUUGAGAGGAUGAUCAGCCACAUUGGGACUGAGACACGGCCCAAACUCCUACGGGAGGCAGCAGUGGGGAAUCUUGCACAAUGGAGGAAACUCUGAUGCAGCGAUGCCGCGUGAGUGAAGAAGGCCUUUGGGUUGUAAAGCUCUUUCGUCGGGGAAGAAAAUGACUGUACCCGAAUAAGAAGGUCCGGCUAACUUCGUGCCAGCAGCCGCGGUAAUACGAAGGGACCUAGCGUAGUUCGGAAUUACUGGGCUUAAAGAGUUCGUAGGUGGUUGAAAAAGUUGGUGGUGAAAUCCCAGAGCUUAACUCUGGAACUGCCAUCAAAACUUUUCAGCUAGAGUAUGAUAGAGGAAAGCAGAAUUUCUAGUGUAGAGGUGAAAUUCGUAGAUAUUAGAAAGAAUACCAAUUGCGAAGGCAGCUUUCUGGAUCAUUACUGACGCUGAGGAACGAAAGCAUGGGUAGCGAAGAGGAUUAGAUACCCUCGUAGUCCAUGCCGUAAACGAUGUGUGUUAGACGUUGGAAAUUUAUUUUCAGUGUCGCAGCGAAAGCGAUAAACACACCGCCUGGGGAGUACGACCGCAAGGUUAAAACUCAAAUGAAUUGACGGGGACCCGCACAAGUAGUGGAGCAUGUGGUUUAAUUCGAAGAUACGCGCAGAACCUUACCAACACUUGACAUGUUCGUCGCGACUUUAAGAGAUUAGAGUUUUCGGUUCGGCCGGACGAAACACAGGUGCUGCAUGGCUGUCGUCAGCUCGUGUCGUGAGAUGUUGGGUUAAGUCCCGCAACGAGCGCAACCCUCACUUUUAGUUGCCAUCAUU
rnacentral:rRNA from 1 species